rnacentral:rRNA from 1 species
CAGGCCUAACACAUGCAAGUCGAGCGGGCCCUUCGGGGUCAGCGGCGGACGGGUGAGUAACGCGUGGGAACGUGCCUUCCGGUUCGGAAUAACCCUGGGAAACUAGGGCUAAUACCGGAUACGCCCUUAUGGGGAAAGGUUUACUGCCGGAAGAUCGGCCCGCGUCUGGUUAGCUAGUUGGUGGGGUAACGGCCUACCAAGGCGACGAUCAGUAGCUGGUCUGAGAGGAUGAUCAGCCACACUGGGACUGAGACACGGCCCAGACUCCUACGGGAGGCGGCAGUGGGGAAUAUUGGACAAUGGGCGCAAGCCUGAUCCAGCCAUGCCGCGUGAGUGAUGAAGGCCUUAGGGUUGUAAAGCUCUUUUAUCCGGGACGAUAAUGACGGUACCGGAGGAAUAAGCCCCGGCUAACUUCGUGCCAGCAGCCGCGGUAAU